UUUUCGUUCUCUUUCACGAUUUUCCUGGUUUGAUGGACAAUCCGGGGAGAGCAGUCCUAGUAGUUGCUGGGGGCUGACUUGUGUUGCUCUCGGCUCCUGUCAUCACUGAAACAGCGUUCUCCGCUCAGUCCAGCGGCAGGUUCUGCUUCAGCAGUGUGACCAUGCUCUGGUCUCUCUCUCUCUCUAUCCGCUCCCUCAAAAAGCACCGGAGCCCUUCAAGUGUCGCUUCUGCCGGUGGUUUCUCUUCUAGAGGCGGGAGGAUUUAUACGGAAUAGCCAGUGCCUGGGGAUGGACCUCACAUCUUUCAGAAGCUGAACCCACCUGAAGAUCAGUUGACAAGCAUCAUGGGCAUAUGGCAUAAUAAGAGCAUGGCACCUGUUCCAGGAGCCCCAAUCAGUCUUCAGGAAGCAGAAAACAGUGAGAACAAAGGCAGCACGAUACAGCAGGAGCUGCCUCCCAAUCUUACAAACUCCCUCAGCAAUUGGCACCAUCUAUUUGAAUGAAUUAACAAAAUCACAUUCAUAUCGCACCUUUUAUGAUUUCUAGUGCUUUAUAAUCAAUUAAGUAACUCUUGAAGUGUAGUGACUGUAGUAAUGUAAGAGGAUAGCUGGUGAUUUGCACACUGCAAAGUCCAAUAAAUAACAAGGAAAAUGACAAAAUAUGCUUCCUCUAAAUAUUAGCCAAGACAUCAUGUCCUUUGUCAUAGUGUCAUACAGCAUGGAAAGAGACCCUUCAGUCCAAGCAGUCCAUGUUGAACAUAACCCCAAGGAAAAUAGUACCACCUGCUGGCUCUUGGCCCAUAUCUUUCCAAACAUUUCUUAUUCAUAUACUUAUCCAAAUGUCUUUCAAAUGUUGUAACUGCACACACAUCCACCAUUUCCUCUGGAGGUUCAUUCUGCAUACAAACCACUUUUUGUGUGAAAACAAGUUGCUGCUCAUGUCUUUUUUAAAACUUUCUCACCUCAUCUUAAAAAUAUAAUAGGAACAUUUAUGUCCACUGGAAUGGGCAGAAGAGGUUUCAGUCCAACAUCUCAGUCAAAAUAUGCCACCAUAACAGGGUGGCACUCCCUCUGUAAUAAACUGCAUUAAAAAUAUUAUUCUGGAUUCCGAGAAGUUUCUUGAGUGGGACUUGAAGCCACUUGUUUCUGACUCGGGUGGGAAUGCUACCAUUGAGCCAUGGCUGGUGU